rnacentral:rRNA from 1 species
AAACCAACAGGGAUUGCCUCAGUAACGGCGAGUGAAGCGGCAAAAGCUCAAAUUUGAAAUCUAGCACUUUCAGUGUUCGAGUUGUAAUUUGAAGAAGGUAACUUUGGUUUUGGCUCUUGUCUAUGUUCCUUGGAACAGGACGUCACAGAGGGUGAGAAUCCCGUGCGAUGAGAUGCCCAAUUCCAUGUAAAGUGCUUUCGAAGAGUCGAGUUGUUUGGGAAUGCAGCUCUAAGUGGGUGGUAAAUUCCAUCUAAAGCUAAAUAUUGGCGAGAGACCGAUAGCGAACAAGUACAGUGAUGGAAAGAUGAAAAGAACUUUGAAAAGAGAGUGAAAAAGUACGUGAAAUUGUUGAAAGGGAAGGGCUUGAGAUCAGACUUGGUAUUUUGCGUUCCCUUCCUUUUUGGUUGGGUUCCUCGCAGUUUACUGGGCCAGCAUCGGUUUGGAUGGUAGGAUAAUGACAUUGGAAUGUAGCUUUACUUCGGUGAAGUGUUAUAGACUUUGUUGAUACUGCCUAUCUAGACCGAGGACUGCGUCUUGACUAGG